rnacentral:rRNA from 1 species
UCUUUAUACCACCCUGAAUGCACCCAAACUCAUCUGAUCUCAGAAGAUAAGCAGGGUUAGGCCUGGUUAAUACUUGGAUGGGAGAAAAAUCUUCAGAGUACACUGCUCAGAGAC